rnacentral:lncRNA from 1 species
CAGCCACAAAAGGAUCUAUCAUCUGCUCAGAUAUUUUUCCCACCUGAUAAUUUUUUGUCAAUCUCUUCUACAAACAGUUUGUCCAUUUAUGAACUAUAAGAAGGAUUCAGUAUGUGUCAUCAUUUUCAUAAAAGGAAGGAAAUCAGCAAAGUAGCCCAACUCUCUGGGGAAGAUGCAAUGUCAACAAUUAGGAAGAAUGUAAUUUAUCUUGUGCCAAAGAGGUCCAACAGUGAAUCCCAAUCAGACAAAUACCACUAAAAUGAUGACAAACACAAAAAAAUCAUCAACCUGUAAGGCAAAAGAGGAUGGGUGGAACUGAGGAGGACAGAUAAUAAAUAGCAGGUAAAUGGAGAUCAAUAUGAUAUUUUAAAAUAUAGGUAAAAUGGACAAGUGGCAACUCACUAAGCAAACUAGAAAAAUCUGAAAUUUUAGUUCACAUUUUGUGGAGGAAAUCAAUCAAGAAAUCAUCCUAUUUAUCUCACAGAAACUAGGGAUUGACAAUAAUGGGUAUAUUGGAAUAUGGGCUAUAGUGG